rnacentral:tRNA from 1 species
GGGAUAAUAGUUAAAAUUAACAUUAAAUUUGCAAUUUAAAAUAAUUGAUUAUUCAAUUUAUCUUA